AGAACUUCUGACAGGAUUAGGGAAAUGUAAGUCUAGCGACCAAACCAGGACGCGGUGGGCAGGCUCACGGCAGCAUCCUCCACUCAGCGUGGCUUCCUUCCGGCCCCGUCAUCACUUGUGAGCUGUGGGCCUUGCAGCGGGAUUGGGGCUUUCACCCAGUUUUCUUCCUUGAGUCUAAGUGAGGAUUGCUCGGUAGACAUUAGAAUCCACAAGCAUAAAAGAUACAGUAUUUUAAAGAAAAAAGAUGGACGUAUGGCCCAACGAAGAAUUUUUUCUGAUUUGUGGAUUUGCAGCUGGGGCCCCAACCCGCUGGGCCUCCUGGACAGUGUGGACACACCCCACGGCUGCCUCUCCUGAAGGCAAGGAUGCUGGGCAUGCUGGCUCUUGGUAGCUGCUUUAGUGGCUGCUCCUAGCGGUGUCACCUGCCCUGCACUUCUGGCAUGUUACAAGCAUGAAACAGAGCAAACAAAGCUCUUGGUGGGGAACCUCGGGUGCCUGGAGUAUAGACCUUCAGAGGGUUCUGGAAGGACCACUCCCGAAAGCCUCUGAGCAGCAGCAUCCUCUAUGCACCCGUGUAAGAGAGCAGGCUGCCUGGUUUUUAUGGGGUGCCACAAUCUCCCCAGCUACCAACGUACGAGAUGAUCCUAGAGAUAACCAGAGGCACCAUGGACUGGCUGGUUCACCAUGGUACCAUGGAUUAGUUUGGCUGCAUUUAAAGCUGGCCCCAGUCCGAGGAAAGAGACAGACGUCUGCCUGGCCUCUGCUGUCACCUUCAGAGCAGGGUUGCUCUGUUUUUCUAACAGCUGGUUGGAUUCAUCUAGAUAAUUUCCACUCCGCCUUUUUGUCAGCAGAUCUCUUUAGCUGCAGUUUUGACCCUAGGUCUCCAGUUUACCACUCACCAAGAUGAAAAGUGGUAGUGUAUUUUUCUGUCAGCCAGCCCAGAGGCUGCCAGCGGUGCCCCUCGGCUGGGGGCUUUGACCUUGGAUGUCAGCGAGAGAUGACCCACAGGGCAGCAAGCAAGGGGCAGUGUUGCUCUCUUGCUUCCUUCUUAUUUCUCAUGCUGUCUGGGAGUUUUCAUAAAUUCAACCUAGCUUAAAAUCGUGUACAUCAUGUUUAUGUGCAGAAUAAAAAACUUACACUGUGUUGAUAACUUAGUUUACAGUUUACACUGAU